rnacentral:rRNA from 1 species
GGAUGCGAUCAUACCAGCACUAAAGCACCGGAUCCCAUAAGAACUCCGAAGUUAAGCGUGCUUGGGCGAGAGUAGUACUAGGAUGGGUGACCUCUUGGGAAGUCCUCGUGUUGCAUUCC